rnacentral:rRNA from 1 species
CGGCAGGCCUAACACAUGCAAGUCGAACGGUAACAUUUCUAGCUUGCUAGAAGAUGACGAGUGGCGGACGGGUGAGUAAUGCUUGGGAACUUGCCUUUGCGAGGGGGAUAACAGUUGGAAACGACUGCUAAUACCGCAUAAUGUCUACGGACCAAACGGGGCUUCGGCUCCGGCGCAAAGAGAGGCCCAAGUGAGAUUAGCUAGUUGGUAAGGUAACGGCUUACCAAGGCGACGAUCUCUAGCUGUUCUGAGAGGAAGAUCAGCCACACUGGGACUGAGACACGGCCCAGACUCCUACGGGAGGCAGCAGUGGGGAAUAUUGCACAAUGGGGGAAACCCUGAUGCAGCCAUGCCGCGUGUGUGAAGAAGGCCUUCGGGUUGUAAAGCACUUUCAGUUGUGAGGAAAAGUUAGUAGUUAAUACCUGCUAGCCGUGACGUUAACAACAGAAGAAGCACCGGC